ACCCUCUUGCCACCAACCACAAACAGGUAAAUUCUCUUCUAUAGCCUCCCACCUCUCAGUUCUCACAAAGAAGGGACAGUCAGACUGGGUGCAGUGGACCAGAAUGAUGGAGAAAGAAUUACGACAAGUCAAGGAAGCCCUCAUUAGGUGUUACAGAACCCCAACUUUAGCCUCCCUUUCCACUGAUGCUUAAGAGACAGGACUUGGGGCUGUCUGUGAGGUCACCCCUGUACACGUAAAUUUCCAGAGCCAGGAAGGUGAGUCGCCACAUUUAGACCUUUUUCAGAGGGUCUAACUGGUCCAAAGAGAAGAAAAAUCCUUAGAAGGUGAGGCACAAAAUAUUAACCUGAAUAAACAAACUGAAUAAGACACACAUUCUCAAACUCAAACCUAAAUAUUUUCCUAAAACAUGCAAUGCUUUUGUCAUAUCACAACAUGAAUAAAUAAUCAUUUCAGCUUUACUAAUGAAGUCACUUUCCCUCAGUGUUUGGUGUCUGUUCCUAAUUUGUUUUUUUUUUUGUUUUUUCCUGGAGCUCACUUAGAUAUGAGACAGCUAGAUGUUUCAAGGAUCUAUAAUUUUUUUAACUCUCCUUAAACCUACAUAUAACCACCUGCCUAUGUGUAUUAAACAUUAUCUCACAACAUUUGUGUGUUUGUGCCACAUUCAUAGAAAAUUUAAGCCUGUAGUUUAAAUAAAUAAAUGUUUAUUUCAGAUCAUGCUGCAGUGUUGUUUACUUUCAGUUUGUUUUAGACAUAAAAAGCACACAGGAUGUGAUUUGCUGGCAGAUUAUACACCACACCCUUCUCAGUUUAGAGAUAAAGAACAGAGAGCAGCUGGAUGCUCAAGAGAUAAAAGCUUUUUGGUAUAUAAGGUAUGCUCUCUCGGCCUCUGGCACAGUCAUGGAACGUUGUGUGGUGGUGUGGUUAUUGACAUUCUGAUAGCAUCAGCCCUGACACAUCGUUGAGUUCCCAUGAAGGAAACUACACCAGGUUACUUAUGUAACUCGGUACCCUGAGAAGGGAACGAGGUGCUGCAUCACUGGCCAUGCCCUGGGCGUCCACUCGCGCUUCUUUCAGACAAAUAGAAGCUGGACUAAUGUGAUAUAAUGUGAUGCCCUUAUAUGGACUUGAUGGCGCAUAAUCACUUUGUCAUGUCCUUAACGAGCCAUUAAAUUGGCGUGUGUGCACACAGAGCUUUAGACACAACUUCUUCAAAGAAAGGCAUCAGACAUCUAAGGGUUAAUAACACACUCUCCUCUGUGUUUCAUCAGGUGGCUCAUGAGGGGAGUUUUUGCAGGAAGCAAAAGAAGGACAACCAGGUUAAACACUUGUUGCCAGGUGUGGGAAAUUGAUUGAGAGAAAGCGGACCCCACGCAAAUCUUAACAGCAUCCUAAUUUCCUCAUGCUGGGAGGCGUCCUAAGGGGCCACCUGGGGGCUUCUGGGGCAGCUAAACGACCAGUUUGUCUGGUCAGGGAUGGAUGCUGAAGUGCGAGCUUUCUGCCAGCACACGUCUCCAAAAAAGUCAGCUUCUGUACCACUCAUUCCGCUUCCCAACGCCAGUGUCCCCUUUAAGCCGCUGGAUCUUGUCAGGCUGCUGCUGAUGUCAGCCCGGGGUCGCAAGUACAUCCUCGCUAUUGUUGACUACACCACACGACACCAUGAGGUGGUCUCACUUUGGAAAUCAAUCUACCACAACAUUGUUUAAGAAUUGAUGGUAAAGCCUCUGAGGAUGUCCAUUGGCUACUGUACCACCGCACUUCAAGCAAAUAUUGAAGAGGAUGGCUGCUACCUCCUGUAUAUAUAUUUAUUAAAUGAACAGAACAUGCAGUGUGAUAAAAAAGUUUCUACUAAUAUAUAUAGUAAAUAUACUCUAUAUGAAGUAAUAGUAAUAAAAUACAUUAAAGAAUUAAGGCAUAAAUCAUUGGUCAAGAGAUGAAAGCUGUUUGGUAAAUAAAGUAUGAUGGAAGUAUACUGAUUCUGUUAAACGUAAACAUUUCAAUAUUUUAUUUUUUUUGUAAAUUAAGCUCUAAAUCUUUCAUUUGUCCUUUCAGAGAUUAAACUACAUUUUCUGGGAGAAAAAUGUGUUGUACCACCCAACGAUUGUAUUAAAUACGGUAUAACUAAAACUA